AUGACUGCAUUAGCAUGCGAUACGAACUUAACUUCUUUCAGUCAACAAAAUGUGCCGGCCUGUCUAAGUGGCAAUGGCGCCUUUGCUUAUGGGAUCUACAAGGGAGCCCUUCCUGUUAUCUCCAGCAAUUCACUUGCUGUCAAAAUCCUCUAUCCCAUAUUCUGGGGUCUCAUGACCCUCAGUAUUUUUGGCAAUGAUCUUGAGCCGACGAGCAAUUGGCUUGAGGUGAUAUUCAGCAUCAUCAAUGUACUAAGUGGGCUGAUGCUCUUCACGCUACUGAUCGGAAACAUACAGUGGGGCAUUCUUGCUGCAGGUAUUCUUGCACGCCGUGCUGACGAGGAAGCGGAAGAUGCAGCUGCGGUUCCGGGACAUGGAGUGGUGGAUGAGGCGGCGGCAGCUGCCGUCCCGGCUGCGGCAGCGGGUCCGCAAGUACGAGGGCGAGCGGUGGGCGGCCAUCACCGGCGACGAGGAGAUGGAGAUGAUCAAGGACCUGCCGGAGGGCCUCCGGCGGGACAUCAAGCGGUACCUCUGCCUGGAGCUGGUGAAGCAGGUGCCCCUGUUCCACGGCAUGGACGAGCUGAUCCUGGACAACAUCUGCGACCGGCUGCGCCCCCUGGUGUUCUGCGGCGGCGAGAAGGUGAUCCGGGAGGGCGACCCGGUGCAGCGCAUGGUGUUCAUCCUGCAGGGGAGGCUGCGGAGCACGCAGCCGCUGACCAAGGGCGUGGUGGCGGAGUGCGUGCUGGGCGCGAGGAGCUUCCUGAGCGACGAGCUGCUGUCGUGGCGCCUGCGGCGGCCGUUCGUGGACCGGCUGCCGGCGUCGUCCGCCACGUUCGAGUGCUGGAGGCCGCGCAGGCCUUCUGCCUCGACGCGCCGAACCUGCGGUACAUCACCGAGCACUUCCGGUACAAGUUCGCCAACGACAAGCUCAAGCGCACCGCGCGCUACUACUCGUCCAACUGGCGGACGUGGGCGGCCGUCAACGUGCAGCUCGCGUGGCGGCGGUACAGGGCCAGGGUGAUGGCGACGGCGAUGCUCCCGCCGCCGCCGGCCGGCGCGGCGGGGCCCGAGGACGGGGACCGCCGGCUGCGCCAUUACGCGGCCAUGUUCAUAUCGCUCACGCCGCACGACCACCUCGAGUAG
rnacentral:rRNA from 1 species